UGGAGGGGGAUACUACUGGAACGGUAGCUAAUACCGCAUGACCUCGAAAGAGCAAAGUGGGGGACCUUCGGGCCUCACGCCAUCGGAUGUGCCCAGAUGGGAUUAGCUAGUAGGUGAGGUAAUGGCUCACCUAGGCGACGAUCCCUAGCUGGUCUGAGAGGAUGACCAGCCACACUGGAACUGAGACACGGUCCAGACUCCUACGGGAGGGCAGCAGUGGGGAAUAUUGCACAAUGGGCGCAAGCCURAUGCAGCCAUGCCGCGUGUGUGAAGAAGGCYUUCGGGUUGUAAAGCACUUUCAGCGAGGAGGAAGGCGUUAAGGUUAAUAACYUUAGCGAUUGACGUUACUCGCAKAAGAAGCACCGGCUAACUCCGUGCCAGCAGCCGCGGUAAUACGGAGGGUGCAAGCGUUAAUCGGAAUUACUGGGCGUARAGCGCACGCAGGCGGKUUGUUAAGUYAGAUGUGAAAUCCCCGAGCUUAACUKGKGAACUGCAUWUGAAACUGGCAAGCYAGAGUCUKGUAGAGGGGGGUAGAAUUCCAGGUGUAGCGGUGAAAUGCGUAGAGAUCYGGAGGAAUWCCGGUGGCGAAGGCGGCCCCCUGGACAAAGACUGACGCUCAGGUGCGAAAGCGUGGGGGAGCAAACAGGAUUAGAUACCCUGGUAGUCCACGCUGUAAACGAGGUCGAUUGGAGGUUGUGGGCUUGACCCGUGGCUUCCGGAGCUAACGCGUUAAAUCGACCGCCUGGGGAGUACGGCCGCAAGGCUAAAACUCAAAUGAAUCGACGGGGGCCCGCACAAGCGGUGGAGCAUGUGGUCUAAUUCGAUGCAACGCGAAGAACCUUACCUACUCUUGACAUCCAGAGAAUUCGCUAGAGAUAGCUUAGUGCCUUCGGGAACUCUGAGACAGGUGCUGCAUGG
rnacentral:rRNA from 1 species